rnacentral:rRNA from 1 species
UUAGAAUUUUAAUAAAUAAUUUUUUAGGGGGUAAUAGUUAUUUUUAAAAUUUAGUAAUCUAGGGGAUGAGCUUUAGAUUAAAAUAAGUAAAAGAGAGUUAUUAAUAAAUUUUAAAAAAGUAGAAUUAGAAGUUUUUAUUUUAGUGUUUAAUAACUAAUUUAAUUAAUUUAUUUUAAUUUAUUUAUAUUAUUUUUAUUUACUUAUUUUACUUUAAUAUCUAUUUUAAUUAGUUAAAUUGAGAUAUAAUGAUAAGAUUAGUAGAGAUUUUUAUUGUAUAAAAUUUAAAUUGAGUUAAAGAUUAAUUUAAGGAACUCGGCAAAUUUAUUUUUCACCUGUUUAAUAAAAACAUGUCUUUUAAGAAUUAUAAUUAAAAGUCGGGCCUGCCCGGUGAAAUUGUUGUUUAACGGCCGCGGUAUUUUGACYGUGCUAAGGUAGCAUAAUCAUUAGUUUUUUAAUUGAAAGCUGGAAUGAAAGGUUUGAUGAGAAAAUAACUGUCUCAGAUUAAAAGUUUUGAAUUUUAUUUUUAAGUAAAAAAGCUUAAAUAUUUAUAAAAGACGAGAAGACCCUAUAGAGUUUUAUAUUUAUUUUUUAAGAUAAAAUAUGGGGAAUUAUUUUAUUAUUUUUAAAAAUAAGUAUUUGAUUGGGGUGAUCAAAAAAUUUAAUGAACUUUUUUUAUUUAGAUUCAUAGAUAAGUGAUUUAUAUGAUCCUUUUUUUAAGAUUAAAAGAAAAAAUUACCUUAGGGAUAACAGCGUAAUUUUUUUUUAGAGUUCUAAUCGAAGAAAAAGUUUGCGACCUCGAUGUUGGAUUAAAAUUAACUUUUGGUGAAGAAGCUAAAGGGUUAGGUCUGUUCGACCUUUAAAAUUUUACAUGAUCUGAGUUUAAACCGGUGUGAGCCAGGUUGGUUUCUAUCUUUAUAUAAAUAAAUUAUUUUAGUACGAAAGGACCAAAUAAUUCUUUUUUAAAGUUAAAAGAAUGAAUAUUAAUAAAAAUUAGUAAAAAGUAAAAUUUAAUUUAAAAAUAAGUUAAUAGUAAAGG